rnacentral:rRNA from 2 species
GGCGGGACACGUGGUAUCCUGUCUGAAUAUGGGGGGACCAUCCUCCAAGGCUAAAUACUCCUGACUGACCGAUAGUGAACCAGUACCGUGAGGGAAAGGCGAAAAGAACCCCGGCGAGGGGAGUGAAAAAGAACCUGAAACCGUGUACGUACAAGCAGUGGGAGCCCCACCACUAAGCCAGUGGUGAACUCCACAUACGCAUCCUUUGCUGAGGAUACGGUUAACGGAGCGAAAGCGACGUUCAACCGCAAAAGAAGCAGAGGGGGCUUAGUGGUGGGGUGACUGCGUACCUUUUGUAUAAUGGGUCAGCGACUUAUAUUCUGUAGCAAGGUUAACCGUAUAGGGGAGCCGGAGGGAAACCGAGUCUUAAUUGGGCGUUAAGUUGCAGGGUAUAGACCCGAAACCCGGUGAUCUAGCCAUGGGCAGGUUGAAGGUUGGGUAACACUAACUGGAGGACCGAACCGACUAAUGUUGAAAAAUUAGCGGAUGACCUGUGGCUGGGGGUGAAAGGCCAAUCAAACCGGGAGAUAGCUGGUUCUCCCCGAAAGCUAUUUAGGUAGCGCCUCGUGAAUUCAUCUCCGGGGGUAGAGCACUGUUUCGGCUAGGGGGCCAUCCCGGCUUACCAACCCGAUGCAAACUGCGAAUACCGGAGAAUGUUAUCACGGGAGACACACGGCGGGUGCUAACGUCCGUCGUGAAGAGGGAAACAACCCAGACCGCCAGCUAAGGUCCCAAAGUCAUGGUUAAGUGGGAAACGAUGUGGGAAGGCCCAGACAGCCAGGAUGUUGGCUUAGAAGCAGCCAUCAUUUAAAGAAAGCGUA